CUUUCAUCUUUUUUUCCUUCUUUGUUUUUUUCCUGCAUACUUACUUCAAACCCUCAAAUUACCAAACUACAAUGGCACAACAAGAUGGAAGAAAUUGAAUCCAAUCCAGAUUUGCAUCAGACGACUAUUAUCUAGAAUGGAUGAAUUCUUCCGGCUCAUCCUUGGAGGACCAUGCAAAGGCUUCCUCGUUCAACAGCAUCCAUUACAGCCUGAAAAUUGAGGAAAACAAAACAGAUAAGAGAAUUAUUAACGAAGAACUACUUUUUUCAAUUCAACUCAUCCUUUCCAAUAAGAGUCUUUUUUAUUUAGUGUAACGCUGCAUGGAGUAAGGUAAAACAGUCCACCCACGAUUGUUAGCCAUAAGUAACUUCAAAUUUACCAAGUAAUCAAAAUCAAGUAUCUUGUCCUUAA